UCAGACGGCCGGAUGGCUGCGCUCUCGCGGGCAACCGCGGGGGUGAGGAAAGUCCGGGCUCCACGGAGACACGGUGCCGGAUAACGUCCGGCGGGGGCGACCCCAGGGAAAGUGCCACAGAAAACAGACCGCCGGCCCGGGUCACGCCGGGUGGUAAGGGUGAAACGGUGGAGUAAGAGCCCACCGCGCGACCGGCAACGGAAGCGGCACGGCAAACCCCACCGGGAGCAAGACCAAAUAGGGGCGGCAGGCCGGGCAACCGGCAACGGCGUUUCCGCGGCGCCGCCCGGGUCGGUCGCGCGAGGCGCUCGGCAACGGGCGUCCCAGAGGAAUGGCCAUCCCUCGCUUCACCGCGAGGACAGAACCCGGCUUACAGGCCGUCUGACGCG
rnacentral:RNase_P_RNA from 1 species